rnacentral:lncRNA from 1 species
CCCUGUGUAAUUUGAGUCCUUUCUAGCUCCAGCUGUGGUCCCUCUCUACUUAGGGUUUAAUUAUUAGCAGAGCCAAUCAUGCCCUGCCAGCAUUCCUUUUAUACAGGCUGAUAUUAUGUGAGUAAAACCAACUUUUUAUUUUUUUUCACAGUGCAGCACUGAAACCUUAGAAUUUUUCUACUAACUAUACUCAUGCCUCCUCCCCCAACAACAUCUACUUUUAAGAUAGCAAAACUAUAUUUUUAUCUUACUCUGUUAUUACUUUUGAUGGGGUUUAUUUAGCACUAUCCCCAAAAGAUAUUUUUCACUGACCAAAAAAGUUCUAAGUUGUUUGAAUACAAAAAUGUAUUUCUUCAGUAGUUACAUUUCUGAGUGUAUUCAUUUGCUAGGACUGCUACUUGGAAAAACCACAAACUGUCUGAAAAUACAGAAAUAUAUUGUCUUACAAAGAAUUCUGUAAUCUAAAAGUACUAGUUAAAGAUGUCAGCAGGGAUAGUUCCUUCUGAGAACUAUGAGAGAAAAUAUGCUUCUUACCUCUCUCAUUGCUUCUGGUCUUUUUCUGGAAAUCUUUGGCAUUAUGUGCCUUAUAGAAGCAUCAGUCACAUCUCAGCCUUCAUUUAACAUGGUAUUCUCCCUGUUUCUGUCUGCAUCCAAAUUUUCCCAUUUGAUAAGGACACCAGUCAUAUUGUAUUAGGGGCCCAUCAUAUGACCCCAUCUUAACCAAUUGCAUCUACAACAAUCCUUUUUUCCAAAUAAGAUAAUAUUAUUUUUUAAGUUUAUUUAUUUUUGAGAGAAAGAGAGAUGAUGAAGGAUUGGCAGAGAGAGAGGGAGACAGAGUCCCAGGCAGGCUCUGAGCCAUCAGCACAGAGCCCAACGUGGGGCUUGAAUCCACAAACCAUGAGAUCAUGACCUGAGCUAAAGCCAAAAGCUGGUUGCUUAACCGACUAAGGCACCCAGGCACCAAAAAUAUGAUAAUAUUCUUAGAUAAUGGGGCUUAAGACUUCAACAUAUGAAUUUUGGGAGACAAAAUUCAACCCAUAAUACAGCAAUUUAAUUUAUACAUUUUUAAAGUUAGUUUAUAUUCUUUUCCAGGCCACUAACUUAUUUAAUGACAAUAAAGAAACUAAAUGUAAGGAAACAGAGGAACAAUGAAAAUAGUGUUAAUCACACAGAAUUUUCCCUAUACGAAGAUCCCCUCUGAACAUAUUAAAGAACAUUAAAUAGAACAUACCAACUUUAGCUGUGUCUUAUGGAUAUAUGUCUUGUAUAUCCCUGAGAUCUAUGCAUUCAUGUGGGAAUUGAAAAGGAGUCACAUUUUAUUAGAGGCAUCAUUCACUUUAUCUUAUGGCAAACACUGCCCACAAGUAAGGAAAACUUUCACAAUUUACAGGAAUAGUGACCUAAUUAACCAACCAUAAAAUUUCCAAAUCCUUACUUCUCAUU